AGAGUUUGAUCCUGGCUCAGAGUGAACGCUGGCGGCAGGCCUAACACAUGCAAGUCGAACGGCAGCACAGCAGUAGCAAUACUGUGGGUGGCGAGUGGCGGACGGGUGAGGAAUGCGUCGGAAUCUGCCUUUUUGUGGGGGAUAACGUAGGGAAACUUACGCUAAUACCGCAUACGACCUACGGGUGAAAGUGGGGGACCUUCGGGCCUCACGCAGAAAGAUGAGCCGACGCCGGAUUAGCUAGUUGGCGGGGUAAAGGCCCACCAAGGCGACGAUCCGUAGCUGGUCUGAGAGGAUGAUCAGCCACACUGGGACUGAGACACAGCCCAGACUCCUACGGGAGGCAGCAGUGGGGAAUAUUGGACAAUGGGCGCAAGCAAUAAACCAGCCAUGCCGCGUGUGUGAAGAAGGCCUUACAUUAAGAAAGCACUUUUGUCCGGAAAGAAAAGCUUCGGGUUAAUAACCUGGUGUCAUGACGGUACCGAAG
rnacentral:rRNA from 1 species